UUCUGGACGAGAGUGUGGAGGCCGGCAAAUACAUCUACGAACUAGGUGAAUGUGAAAGCAUCGAUUUUGCGUGGCUAUGGCGUUGCACUGACUAUUUGUUUCUGUGACAGUGCCUCCUCUAACAACACUUCAUGCUGUAGCAUGUAGGCCCUUUUUUGAACGAAUUUCUGGUAGGUGCUAUGAUCUUAUCUUAUCCUUCGAGUGUUUGCGUGGCCUGUGUGUAUAGCUCGUCGGUGUGUUUAUGAUGCGGCUGGUUUUUGUUGAUAAGUGUACGAAGGGAAUUUCGUUGGUUAAUGUUUUUACUCUAAAUUGUUCUCAAUGUUGUGACUGCUGAUACGUCAGUUGGGUUCACAAAGUGUACUUGUUUUAGUAUUUUAUUGGGGGCCAUGGUUUUUCACAUGAUAAGUGUGCACCUGUUUCUGCAGUUGCUACCGCUGCUGCUCCUGUUGUCCCUGCUGGCAAGUAUCUUGUCUUGCUCCUAAGGACGUUCGUCAUUUAGUUGCCUGGGUGGGUUAAUUUCUAAGCGUUGUUGCUGUGGGAAUGCAGAUGCUAUUCGACAAUUGACUGAGUUUUGGAGAAAGUGUCAGACAAGUAGGCCGGAGCCUGGUGGACAUGUGGUGAGUUUUGAACAAGAUGAGCAUUGGAGCGCCAUGCUGGAAUGGUAUCUAUGUGCGUAAGUGCUUUAAGGCCUUCCGGGAAAGAGCGCUGGCUGCAUGGGAGGGCUCACAUGUUCACGUAACUGGGCCACCAUGGAUAGGCAAGUCGAUGUUCCUGUGGUACAUGAUCAUGGAGGCUGCUGCUGGAAACCUCCCCUAACACAUGCACGCCCAGGAGCAGCUACACUCACGACUGAAAGCCAGGUUCAAACGGCUACUAGUUUAUUUUCUCUAUUCUAGGCAUAUACUGGC
rnacentral:lncRNA from 1 species